CGCACGGGUGAGUAACACGUAGGUAAUGUGCCUUUGGGUGGGGAAUAACUUAGGGAAACUUAAGCUAAUACCGCAUAAUGCGAUAACUUCUUCGGAAGAUAGUUGUUAAAGAUUUAUCGCCUAAAGAGCAGCCUGCGGCAGAUUAGCUAGUUGGUAAGGUAACGGCUUACCAAGGCUACGAUCUGUAUCCGACCUGAGAGGGUGGUCGGACACACUGACACUGAAUAACGGGUCAG
rnacentral:rRNA from 1 species